rnacentral:rRNA from 1 species
CCUACGGGAGGCUGCAGUGAGGAAUAUUGGUCAAUGGGCGGAAGCCUGAACCAGCCAAGUAGCGUGCAGGAUGACGGCCCUACGGGUUGUAAACUGCUUUUAUACGGGAAUAACGCGCCUUACGUGUAGGGCUUUGCAUGUACCGUAUGAAUAAGGACCGGCUAAUUCCGUGCCAGCAGCCGCGGUAAUACGGAAGGUCCGGGCGUUAUCCGGAUUUAUUGGGUUUAACGGGAGCGUAGGCCGCAUGUCAAGCGUGCUGUGAAAUGUCCGGGCUCAACCCGGGCCUUGCAGCGCGAACUGGCGUGCUUGAGUUCACGGAAAGCAGGCGGAAUUCGUCGUGUAGCGGUGAAAUGCUUAGAUAUGACGAAGAACCCCGAUUGCGAAGGCAGCUUGCCGCAGCGGAACUGACGCUGAUGCUCGAAAGCGCGGGUAUCGAACAGGAUUAGAUACCCGGGUAGUC